rnacentral:rRNA from 1 species
GGGCCCGCACAAGCGGUGGAGCAUGUGGUUUAAUUCGAUGCAACGCGAAGAACCUUACCAGGACUUGACAUACUACAAAUUCUUUUGAGAAAAAGAAGUGCCUUCGGGAAUGUAGAUACAGGUGGUGCAUGGCUGUCGUCAGCUCGUGUCGUGAGAUGUUGGGUUAAGUCCCGCAACGAGCGCAACCCUUAUUUUUAGUUACCAAUUCGUUGGGUUCUCUAGAAAGACUGCCGGUGACAAACCGGAGGAAGGUGAGGAUGACGUCAAGUCAGCAUGCCCCUUAUGUCCUGGGCUACACACGUGCUACAAUGGUUAAGACAAAGAGUCGCGAGCUCGUGAGAGUCAGCUAAUCUCAUAAACUCGUUCUAAGUUCGGAUUGUAGGCUGCAACUCGCCUACAUGAAGGUGGAAUCGCUAGUAA